GAUGCAAUUAAGUUCAUCUGCAAGCAUUUCCGGUCUGAACUUUUCAAGAAGCAGAUAGACAACUUGAAGACCAAUCAUAUGGGUACCUUUGUGUUGCAAGAUAAUCGGUUUCCAUGGCUUUCAUGAACGUCUCUUGAUCCGGCCGCUGAAAAUGGAGACGUAUCUCCAAGAAAAUAUUCUGAGCCUCGGCUGACAAUAAGGCAGCACAGGUUCAUUUGUGGUUCGUAUAAAACCCUGAUGAAAGAUUCACCAAGGAACAGCAGAGAGCCAGAAAGAUUGGGGGUUCAAUUCAUCAAGUUAUCAGUCAAGACUCGCGGUUUUCUCUUACUCUUGUGCAGAAGGGAUUUCACUAGAUUUCAGAAUCUCUUUGUAGCUUUCAAACUAACAAGCGUAUUUGGGAGAAAAAUCUCCUUUGAAUUAGUGAACUCCUAGAAGCAGAUACUGUGGUGAAUUGUUCUUCGCAAGAUUGUACUUGGUGUUGAGGAUGCCAUUGUAGGAGAAUGGUAAAAAAUAAAAUUUUGUACUUAUGCCAUAUAUGAGAUUGU
rnacentral:lncRNA from 1 species